ensembl:antisense
AGGCGCAGCUGCUGCGGCUCCUGAAAUCCUCUGGUGUGAACUUCUCUCCCAGGGCUGUUGGUGCAGCAUCCACUCUUCUGGCAGUGGGCGCCUGGACCUUAGUUACCCGGGGAGCGUGAGUCAUGUUGCCAUAGUUGAGCUGGCACAUAAAACUGCGAGUUUAUAGAACAAGGAAUUGAAGCUUGGAGAAGAUUGAUGGGCCACUCAAGUUCCCUGGAUGGUCCAGGAUUCAGACUGUGGAUGGCCUAAUACAUCAGUUUUGCUGGCUCCCUGUGUUUGGCUAACCUUAGAGCCUCUUACCUUGCCAUAGUCUUUUCUAUGAAGGACAGAGAUCCAAGGAGUAGACCAACUUACCUGAGUUCACACAGUGGACCUGGGUCUUUCACCUCCCAGCGCAAUGUUCCUAUGUCCUGCCACUGAAGAGACAGGUGGGAGGGAGCUCAAGGUUGGCUUGCCUAACAACCAUUGCUUGAAAGACAAAGCUCCCAAGGAGAGCACAAGAUACCUCACUCAAGACUGCUCUGCAUCACCAGCCAGUGUGAACAGAGCCUGCGGCUGUCAGCAGAGUAGUCUUUGUCUCGGAGACACGCUGUGUCUACAAUUGGACUAGGAACUUUGGAUUAGGGUGGGCAUCAUGCCCCAUAGGACAGUGGUGGUGUAUGUAGCCUCAUUUCUGAGUUUAUUUAGAGAGGAGAAAGAAUGUACCAUAGCCCCCAAAGGCUUUAGGUUACAGUGAAUUCUCUUUAGUUCAGAUGUAGUUUAGUUUAGCUUGGUUUGGUUAGCUGUGGUUUCAUUCUGUUCCGUUCCAUUCUGUUUGGUUCGGUUCGGUUCGGUUCCGUUGCAGAGUUGUUGCUCUACGAUGCUUUGCAUCCCAGCUUCCCUGCUCUCUCUUGCUUUGGUUCCCAUCAGGCCCAGAAUAAAUGACAAGGGGAGGGUCAUAGAACAAGCUAAAAGAUGCUUUUUAUUGGCAGGCUUGGGACGAAAGAGAUCAGGAGUCAGACUAGGAGUAAGUAUGCCAACUUAGGGUGUGGGGUAAAAUAAAUAGUAACCGGCGAGGGUCUCCAACCCAAUGAGGGUACCAUUUGCCUCAGUGUCCGGACCUGUUCAUCUUCUUUGCUCUUUGAUCCAGGAUAUGUGGUUUGCCACUAACUGAAAGAGGACUUCCGAGGGCUCUAACUGGGUACCAAAUACUCCAUCUUGCAUAUGAGAGGUCCUUGGUCUUGAGGUAUUUGAGCUGGUCUCUAAUGAGUCAUCUAAAGGGAGAAAAUAAUUCAGCUGGGGCUGGUUCCUGGUGAGGGACUCCCAGAGAUUAUACCGCCAAUACGGUUAGAGCUUCAAGACACACCUGAACGGAUGGAGCUGAGUCCCCAGAGGAAUAUCCCAUGCCUAGUGUCCCCAGAUCUCCCUUUCUCACCCCAGGAGAAUUAAAAUCCUCUGAAUAGGAGUCAGGAUCCCAGGGCUUCCUUACCCCCAGCAUCCUUCUGACAGCAUCCAGCCGGGCCUGGAUCCGUGGAGCCUCCUGUGGACACAGCAUCUGCAGCUCCCCAGGUCUCAUGUGAAGUAGCUGGCUUCCCACUAGGGACCCGAGGGUCCUUACGGUGCUGUAAAUAACAAUGGUGGAACCCACCAGAAGCAGGGUGGGCAGAUACUAGGUCUUAGUACUUGUGUAGAGUAGGCAAGUUGGGGGUUACAGGAAUUAGGUAUCUGCAGGUACAGGAAUACGUCUAUUGGUUUGUCUCAGUGAACCACAGAACUCCUAGGUUUGAGGGCAGAAACACUUUAGAAGAGACUGGAAGGGAAGGGUGGCUAAGGUGGGAAGCCCGGGUCCUUCCAGAAUUUGCUAGCCUUGACUCUUUAUCAUAUGGUGUCUCCAGUGGGUGUCCCACCCUAGGCUCGGACAAGCAGCUUUCGUCCAGCAGAGAGAGCCUAAGGUGGAAGCAUCAAGUAGAGUGGAAGCUAGGUCGCACACUCUAAGUCUCUGAGAGGGGAUGGGGUCUGUGGUUCUCGCCUGAGCCCUUUACAGGGCUCGCCGCCCCUCAUCCCCCAGGGGACUGGUCACUCACACAGUGGAGAAGUUCUCUGCUUGUAGCCAGGCCGUGACCUCCUCAGGCUUUGAGCUCAGGCGAAGCAUUGGGGCCUAGAAUCAAGGAGCAGUAGAAGUCAGUCAUCCCAUCUCACGAACAUACACAGCUUCCUGUAUUGGGUCCCUUCUAAUGAGAUCCCGUCAGGACGCUUAUCUCACCUUCUGGUUUUCUAGUUUGGCAGGGACCCUGACUUAAUCUUUGGUCAGACCCUAUAAUGAACUUGGCACCGAGGAAGCAUGUAAUGAUACUGAUUAAACUGAACUAAGGUUUGUC